GACGAACGCUGGCGGCGUGCUUAACACAUGCAAGUCGAACGGAAAGGCCCUGCUUUUGUGGGGUGCUCGAGUGGCGAACGGGUGAGUAACACGUGAGUAACCUGCCCUUGACUUUGGGAUAACUUCAGGAAACUGGGGCUAAUACCGGAUAGGAGCUCCUGCUGCAUGGUGGGGGUUGGAAAGUUUCGGCGGUUGGGGAUGGACUCGCGGCUUAUCAGCUUGUUGGUGGGGUAGUGGCUUACCAAGGCUUUGACGGGUAGCCGGCCUGAGAGGGUGACCGGCCACAUUGGGACUGAGAUACGGCCCAGAGUCCUAUGGGAGGCAGCAGUGGGGAAUAUUGCACAAUGGGCGGAAGCCUGAUGCAGCAACGCCGCGUGCGGGAUGACGGCCUUCGGGUUGUAAACCGCUUUCGCCUGUGACGAAGCGUGAGUGACGGUAAUGGGUAAAGAAGCACCGGCUAACUACGUG
rnacentral:rRNA from 1 species